rnacentral:rRNA from 1 species
UACGUAGGGGGCAAGCGUUGUCCGGAAUCAUUGGGCGUAAAGAGCGUGUAGGCGGCCCGGUAAGUCUGCCGUGAAAGUCCAGGGCUCAACCCUGGAAUGCCGGUGGAAACUGCCGGGCUGGAGUCCGGAAGAGGCGAGUGGAAUUCCUGGUGUAGCGGUGAAAUGCGCAGAUAUCAGGAGGAACACCAAUGGCGAAGGCAGCUCGCUGGGACGGUACUGACGCUGAGACGCGAAAGCGUGGGGAGCAAACAGG